GACGAACGCUGGCGGCGUGCUUAACACAUGCAAGUCGAACGGUGAAGCGAGUGCUUGCACUCGUGGAUCAGUGGCGAACGGGUGAGUAACACGUGAGUAACCUGCCCAUCACUCUGGGAUAAGCACUGGAAACGGUGUCUAAUACUGGAUACGACCAACCCUUGCAUGGGGUGUUGGUGGAAAGAUUUAUCGGUGAUGGAUGGACUCGCGGCCUAUCAGCUUGUUGGCGGGGUAAUGGCCCACCAAGGCGACGACGGGUAGCCGGCCUGAGAGGGUGACCGGCCACACUGGGACUGAGACACGGCCCAGACUCCUACGGGAGGCAGCAGUGGGGAAUAUUGCACAAUGGGCGAAAGCCUGAUGCAGCGACGCCGCGUGAGGGAUGACGGCCUUCGGGUUGUAAACCUCUUUCAGCAGGGAAGAAGCGAAAGCGACGGUACCUGCGGAAGAAGCACCGGCUAACUACGUG
rnacentral:rRNA from 1 species